rnacentral:tRNA from 1 species
GGUUUCAUAGUGUAACAGUUAUUACGUCUGCUUUGCACACUGAAGGUCCUGGGUUCAAACUCCAGUGGAACCA